GUGUAUGUAGCUCAGUGGAUAGAGUGUGUGCUUUCUAAGUAGGAGGUCGUGGAUUCGAAUCCUACUUGACGCA
rnacentral:tRNA from 1 species